CGCAUCUGGCGCAAUACUAUCUCC
rnacentral:siRNA from 1 species